GACGUAGGGCGCGAGCGUUGUCCGGAUUUAUUGGGCGUAAAGAGUUCGUAGGCGGCUCGUUGCGUCGGCUGUGAAAACCCGCAGCUCAACUGUGGGCUUGCAGCUGAUACGGGCGGGCUGGGAUUCGGUAGGGGAGACUGGAAUUCCUGGUGUAGCGGUGAAAUGCGCAGAUAUCAGGAGGAACACCGGUGGCGAAGGCAGCUCGCUGGGACGUUACUGACACUGAGGCGCGAAAGCGUGGGGAGCGAACAGG
rnacentral:rRNA from 1 species